UACAGAGGGGGCAAGCGUUAUUCGGAAUUAUUGGGCGUAAAGGGCGCGUAGGCGGCCUGGCAAGUGGGAGGUGAAAUCCCUCGGCUUAACCGAGGAACUGCCUCCCAAACUGCUUGGCUUGAGACCAGGAGAGGUGAGUGGAAUUCCCAGUGUAGCGGUGAAAUGCGUAGAUAUUGGGAGGAACACCAGUGGCGAAGGCGGCUCACUGGACUGGUACUGACGCUGAGGCGCGAAAGCGUGGGGAGCAAACGGG
rnacentral:rRNA from 1 species